GAUUAACGCUAGCGGCAGGCAUAAUACAUGCAAGUUGAACGGGAUAAGUUUAGCAAUAAACUUUGAGAGUGGCGCACGGGUGCGUAACACGUAUGCAACCUACCCGAUACAGGGGGAUAGCCUCUCGAAAGAGAGAUUAAUACCCCAUAACAUAGAGUAUAGGCAUCUAUAUUUUAUCAAAGUUCCGACGGUAUCGGAUGGGCAUGCGGUUGAUUAGCUAGUUGGUGAGGUAACGGCUCACCAAGGCGACGAUCAAUAGGGGGUCUGAGAGGAUGUCCCCCCACACUGGUACUGAGACACGGACCAGACUCCUACGGGAGGCAGCAGUAGGGAAUAUUGGUCAAUGGGGGCAACCCUGAACCAGCCAUGCCGCGUGCAGGAAGACUGCCCUAUGGGUUGUAAACUGCUUUUGUACGGGAAGAAAUGUCACUAUGCGUAGUGAUUUGACGGUACCGUAAGAAUAAGCACCGGCUAACUACGUGCCAGCCGCCGCGGUAAUAC
rnacentral:rRNA from 1 species